UACGUAGGGGGCAAGCGUUGUCCGGAAUCAUUGGGCGUAAAGAGCGUGUAGGCGGCUCGAUAAGUCUGCUGUGAAAGUCCAGGGCUCAACCCUGGAAGGCCGGUGGAAACUGUCGGGCUAGAGUCCGGAAGAGGCGAGUGGAAUUCCCGGUGUAGCGGUGAAAUGCGCAGAUAUCGGGAGGAAUACCUAUGGCGAAAGCAGGCUACUGGACCGAUACUGACGCUGAGGAGCGAAAGCCAGGGGAGCAAACGGG
rnacentral:rRNA from 1 species